AUUGAACGCUGGCGGCAUGCCUUACACAUGCAAGUCGAACGGCAGCACGGGAGCAAUCCUGGUGGCGAGUGGCGAACGGGUGAGUAAUAUAUCGGAACGUGCCCAGUCGUGGGGGAUAACGUAGCGAAAGACUACGCUAAUACCGCAUACGAUCUAUGGAUGAAAGCGGGGGAGUCGCAAGACCUCGCGCGAUUGGAGCGGCCGAUAUCAGAUUAGGUAGUUGGUGGGGUAAAAGCCUACCAAGCCUUCGAUCUGCAGCUGGUCUGAGAGGACGACCAGCCACACUGGAACUGAGACACGGUCCAGACUCCUACGGGAGGGCAGCAGUGGGGAAUUUUGGACAAUGGGCGCAAGCCUGAUCCAGCAAUGCCGCGUGCAGGGAUGAAAGGGCCCUUC
rnacentral:rRNA from 1 species